GGAUGUGCCCAGAUGGGAUUAGCUAGUUGGUGGGGUAACGGCUCACCAAGGCGACGAUCCCUAGCUGGUUUGAGAGGAUGACCAGCCACACUGGAACUGAGACACGGUCCAGACUCCUACGGGAGGCAGCAGUGGGGAAUAUUGCACAAUGGGGGCAAGCCUGAUGCAGCCAUGCCGCGUGUAUGAAGAAGGCCUUCGGGUUGUAAAGUACUUUCAGCGGGGAGGAAGGGAGUAAAGUUAAUACCUUUGCUCAUUGACGUUAUCCGCAGAAGAAGCACCGGCUAACUCCGUGCCAGCAGCCGCGGUAAUACGGAGGGUGCAAGCGUUAAUCGGAAUUACUGGGCGUAAAGCGCACGCAGGCGGUUUGUUAAGUCAGAUGUGAAAUCCCCGGGCUCAACCUGGGAACUGCAUUUGAUACUGGCAAGCUUGAGUAUCGUAGAGGGGGGUAGAAUUCCAGGUGUAGCGGUGAAAUGCGUAGAGAUCUGGAGGAAUACCG
rnacentral:rRNA from 1 species